rnacentral:rRNA from 1 species
GAUGAACGCUGGCGGCGUGCCUAAUACAUGCAAGUCGAGCGAACAGACGAGGAGCUUGCUCCUCUGACGUUAGCGGCGGACGGGUGAGUAACACGUGGAUAACCUACCUAUAAGACUGGGAUAACUUCGGGAAACCGGAGCUAAUACCGGAUAAUAUAUUGAACCGCAUGGUUCAAUAGUGAAAGACGGUUUUGCUGUCACUUAUAGAUGGAUCCGCGCGGCAUUAGCUAGUUGGUAAGGUAACGGCUUACCAAGGCAACGAUGCGUAGCCGACCUGAGAGGGGGCUCGGCCACACUGGAACUGAGACACGGUCCAGAAUCCUACGGGAGGCAGCAGUAGGGAAUCUUCCGCAAUGGGAGAAAGCCUGACGGAGCAACGCCGCGUGAGUGAUGAAGUUCUUCGGAUCGUAAAACUCUGUUAUUAGGGAAGAACAAAUGCGUAAGUAACUGUGCACAUCUUGACGGUACCUAAUCAGAAAGCCACGGCUAACUACGUG